CUCCUGUACGGUGUACAUUUUAGGACAUCGUCAGGUAUCAGAAAAAAAAUUGUCAGGUGUCAGUUGUCAAAAAAAAAAUUGUCAGGUAUCAGAAAAAAAAUUGUCAGGUGUCAGUUGUCAAAAAAAAAAAAGUCAGGUAUCAGACAAAAAAUUGUCAGGUGUCAGAAAAAAAGUUGUCAGGUGUCAGAAAAAAAGUUGUCAGGUGUCAGAAAAAAAAUUGUCAGGUGUCAGAAAAAAAAUUGUCAGGUGUCAGAAAAAAAGUUGUCAGGUGUCAGAAAAAAAAUUGUCAGGUGUCAGAAAAAAAAUUGUCAGGUGUCAGAAAAAAAGUUGUCAGGUGUCAGAAAAAAAAUUGUCAGGUGUCAGAAAAAAAAUUGUCAGGUGUUAGAAAAAAAAUUGUCAGGUGUCAGAAAAAAAGUUGUCAGGUGUCAGAACACAAGGUACCAGAGAGAAAAUCUUCCUGCAGGUGGCGCUGUUGUCAUGUCCCACCCGAAUUGAUUUCCAAAUACGUCAUCAACGUGUGACCGUGGGAGAGCGUAAGGUCAUUGACCUCACCGGAGUUUUACCGUGGUUCAGGCUCCUAACGACACAAGGUAAGUUUAACUUUUUC
ensembl:lncRNA